rnacentral:rRNA from 1 species
AGAUUGAACGCUAGCGGGAUGCUUUACACAUGCAAGUCGAACGGCAGCGCGGACUUCGGUCUGGCGGCGAGUGGCGAACGGGUGAGUAAUAUAUCGGAACGUGCCCAGUAGCGGGGGAUAACUACGCGAAAGCGUGGCUAAUACCGCAUACGCCCUACGGGGGAAAGGGGGGGAUCGCAAGACCUCUCACUAUUGGAGCGGCCGAUAUCAGAUUAGCUAGUUGGUGAGGUAAAGGCUCACCAAGGCGACGAUCUGUAGCUGGUUUGAGAGGACGACCAGCCACACUGGGACUGAGACACGGCCCAGACUCCGUACGGGAGGCAGCAGUGGGGAAUUUGGACAAGUGGGGGAAACCCUGAUCCAGCCAUCCCGCGUGUGCGAUGAGGCCUUCGGGUUAGUAAAGCUACGUUUGGCGAGGAAGAACGGCGUACCGUUAAGUACGG